rnacentral:lncRNA from 1 species
GGCCUCGCUAUGUCUGCCAUUUUCAAUAUUCAGAGUCUAUUGACUGUAAUCUUGCUGCUUAUAUGUACCUGUGCUUAUAUUCGAUCCUUGGCACCCAGCCUCCUGGACAGAAAUAAAACUGGAUUGUUGGGUAUAUUUUGGAAGUGUGCCAGAAUUGGUGAACGGAAGAGUCCUUAUGUUGAAGUAUGCUGUAUAGUAAUGGCCUUCAGCAUCCUCUUCAUACAGUAGCUGGGGAAAAUGCCAGAAUUUAAUUGCCAUCAGAUUUCAUUGUGAACAAGGACUUACUGCAGAAAAUAAUGGAAAGGAUGUUUAACUCUUUUAUCUCCGAACAUUGAAUGAGAUAAAUUUCCAGAUGCUGUUCUCUAUUUUAAUGUUAUUGGACCAAUAUUCUGUAUAAAUAAUUAAGAUGUAACCAUUUAAUAGUCUGUAACAAUGAACCUCAGUACUGUCACUACAAUAUUACAUUCUG